AAUACGAAGGGUGCAAACGUUGCUCGGAAUUAUUGGGCGUAAAGCGCACGUAGGCGGCUUAGCAAGUCGGAAGUGAAAGCCCUCGGCUCAACCAAGGAAGUGCUUUCGAAACUGCUGAGCUUGAGUAGUUAAGAGGAUCGCGGAAUUCCCAGUGUAGAGGUGAAAUUCGUAGAUAUCGGGAGGAACACCAGUGGCGAAGGCGGCGAUCUGGGAACAUACUGACGCUGAGGUGCGAAAGCGUGGGGAGCAAACAGG
rnacentral:rRNA from 1 species